ensembl:lncRNA
AUUUCCAUCAUACAAAUGAGGAAACUAUGGCUCAGAGAAGUUAAGUAACUUGUACAACAUCGCAGAGCUGGAAAGUGGUCAAACGAGGUGAAGAAUCCAAGCCUGUCUGACCUCAGAGCACUUGCUCUUAACCUUCACUCUAUGCUGACCUCCCAUGUGGCCCUUGAGAUAGCAGGACAGGUGUCACAGAGAUGAUCCGGGGGGACCCAGGGUGAGCAUUAUGACACACGGAUAACAUCCAUGGUCAGCUUUGACAAACAAACUGAUGGCAGCAGUGGCCCCAAUGUCAUAUGCAAGAGGACAGCCAAGAGGAUCACUGAGGAGCAGUCGCCUGUAUUUUUUGAAAAUCACUACAGUGUCACCAUUCAGAGGGGGACUGCCUAACAGAUGGAGCCGCCCCAGGCCAGGCCGUAAGAGGAGCCACAGGAGGGGCAGGAGCUCUUCCCUGGGGUCAGAGAGUUGGUUCUCAUUCAAAGCCCGGCUCUGCUGUGACCUGCCCGGGGGGCCUUGGACAAGGUCCUUAACUUUCCAGUCUUCAAAUUCUUCAAGAUAAAAUGCGGGGGGCGGAGGGCGGGGGGCGUUGAAAAAUCCACUGCAAAGAUUGCUGGAAAGAUGACAUUAACCGGGCGGGUGCAUGAGCCGAGGCGGAGCAGGACUCCAACAGCACCCUCGACUUGGGAAAUUUGAGGAAUGGGGACCCUGCACAGGUGAGGAAGGAUGGAGUGAAGCCAUAACAGCGCAGUGUCCCCGAUUAGUACCAGCCCGGGGCCCUUACCACCCCUGGACUGAGGGAGGGUGUGGCUCCCAGAACCCCGAAAUAAAGUGUGGACAGCAGAAUAAUGGCCCCCCACAUCCUAGUCUCCAGAACCUGUGAGUGUGUAAAAAAAAGGGGGCUUUGCAAAUGCAAUGCUGAGGUGGGGAGAUUAUCCUGGAUGAUCUGGGGGGCCCAGUGCAAUCACAAGGUCGUUACAAGAGGGGGGCAGGAGGAUUGAGAAGGCGAGGUGAGCUGGGAAGCAGGGCUUGGGUGCUGCGCAGCCGGGGGUCGAGGAACGCGGGCGGCCUGUGGGAUCUGGGAGAGGCGAGGAGUGGACUCUCCUCCGGAGCCCCCAGAAGGAGCGCAGUCCUGCCGACCCUCGAUUUUAGUCUCAUAAGACUCAUUUCGGGCUUCUGACCUCCAGAACUGUAAGACAGUAAAUUUGUGUUGUUUUAAGGCACAAAUUUGUGUUGAUUUCUUGCAGCAGCCACAGGAAACUAGCACAGUGAGAGCUGGGUCUGAGGGCUGCCGUGACGGGAGGCGUGACCUUCACUCAGUCAGGCAGAAGACGCCCCAGAAAGAAAGCUGAGGGGUCAAAACCCCAGCCUCGCUCUCCUCCAGCCCCCGAUCUCCUGUGGGGGCUGCCACUGGAGGAACCAACCGGAAGCAGAAGGGGCCACUGAUGAGUCCAUACAGAUCAGCAUCUGGGGCGGGGCGCAGGGAGGGAGGGUGGAGGGUAGAUCUGAGGAGACGAGCGGGAGAACCCAGCGCAGCGGGGCGACUGGGAGAGACUCUGUGUUGGCUCACUCUUUCUUCAGCCAGGGCCACGUGUGAGCCCUGACGAGGAGCAGGACGUCUGCCCUGCAGCUGGGAACGGAGCCUCACGCCCACCCUCAGAACAGAAUCCCGGGAAGACAGACCCGGAUCUGGGGCACAGAGGGUGGAAAUCCUUCCAGAGCUUCCUGGGAGGGGGGGGUCCUUCAAGGGUCUCAAACCCACCCUCGGGGCCAGUCUGCAGAGGUGAUCAACCCAGAGGCCACCACCCUUCGUCCUGUCUCAAGCACCAAUCCCAACCCCGCCCUCCCCUCCCUCAUGCCACACCCUUCAAGGAUGAGAUGCUCCUGGACCAGAGAAAAGGGUCCCAGGCAUCGGCAGGGUUGGCUGUCCCUCCUAGCUCGGCUCUGACCCAUUGAUACUGCCCGGUGUCAGAUGUGGGCCUCCUCAGGCCCCGCCCUCAGAAACUAACGCUCACAGGCCAAACUAGCUGAGACGCCUGGCGCUAGUCAAUACGGCAACUGUGCGAAUUAGAGAGAAAGUACCCCUUUCUCCAGGCACUUUCCUGCCACCUACUGGAAACUUGUAGCAACUACACAUAUCUAAUGACCACGAGGUAAACAGGCACCCCCGGGGAAUUGUGCAAUGCACAACAGGCACCACUGCAAGUGGCAGCCUGGCAGCCUUCAUAAAGCUGUCAUCACACGUGCAAUGGUGGUGACAGCAGGUGGCCUUUUUUUGGUUUGUUGUCUGUCUCUCCAGCCCUCACCAAAACUGUCAUCAAUGCCUCCCAGCAAAGGCCACCAGGAGCACACCUCUAGUUGAACACACUGGGCAUGUGACCUGCAGCAAGAGAAGACAGAAGGGAACAUGUGGCUGGAUCACGUUUCUAUGAAGCUCAAGAAUGAGUGAAACUAAUUCGCAGUGUCCAGGGCCAGAACGGGCCGGGGCUGACUCCCCUAUUUCUCAGGCCACGAGGGGGGACAUUUGGUGGCUCACUGCUCCCCCAUUUCGCUGCUUACGUGUCACCACCUGGAGAGAGAUCGCUCUGUCUCUGUCUCCGGGUGUCGCUCUCCUAACUCCUCAAGAAGGAGCCGGCAGGCCUGACUGUGGCCAUGUUCUGCCCCAUGCUGACUAGCUAUGCCAGAGCGUGGAUCUCCUUCCUUGCUUCCUAAGGCGGCUGGGGAGGUGACAACAACGGCAGCCCCAGCUGGGAGCCGGGGUGGCCAGCCUGUCAGCGAGGAGGCAUGCAAACCUCUUAAGAAAUGCAAGAGAAGCACAGAAUGUGGGUGGACGUUUGAAAAGGGGGGAAUCCUAGAAUGCCACCCAAGGAUGAAGAAAAAAUUGGUGAGGCAGAAGGAAAACGUUGUGAGGAAAACAGAGCUGCAAACUGCGAGCAGGCUGGUUAACCACCAGCUAGAAGUCAAGGAAUUUCAUCCCAGCCCUGGUUCUGUCGGUGACUCAUUGUUGUGACCUUGGAUAUGUCCCUUCUCAUCUCUGAGCCUCAGUUUCUCCAUCUGCAAAAUACGGUGUUGGACUAGACAAUUUCUGAGCGUCCUCGCACGUGCAAGAAUUGAGAUGUGUUUUUCAUAAAGAAACUGACUCACGCAGCCAAUAUUUCUGAGCCCCUGGUACAGGCCAGGCAUAUUCUAGCUACAGGGGAUUCAGCAGUGAAUUAAACAGACGAAAUUCUCUGCCCUCCAGAGAUUGUCAAUCUCAGUAAGAGCUGCCAGCCUCAAGAUGCUGAGGAGAGACAAACGCUCCGCCACAUCUUUCAGUGGUGCUUUUAUUGGCGGCAGGAGGUGAGACAAGACCCUUUGUUCAUCCAAUUCUUGCAGAAAUGAGGAUACCUAGGGUAACGGAGCAAUUGUAAUUAGGCCAGGAACUGUGCACACUCGGAGCUCCAGGCACAAGAAUGCGCUUUACCUAAGCUUUCGGUCAAACCCGAGGGGAGGGAUGGGGGGCACGCAGGAGCAGCCCCCCCAGUAGGUGCUCAGAGGGGGUCAAGGCGGCCCCUCUCAUGGGCCAUUCAAUCAGGUGAGAUUCAGGUGAGUCUCCCAUACGAGGCAGGAAGAUGAAAACCAGGCGUCCAGUGGUCAGCUGUCAGAGCUCCCAAACCUGGGCUGCCACAUUGUCCUCAUGCAGAUGGGCGACGUGGGGAGGCCGGAGCUUCCGUACUUUCCACAGAGGAUCUAUUAUCUGGGGGAAACCAGGAGCCAGGCCCAGGUGGGUCCUCACUCCCAGCUCUCUCCACCAAUACCUGCUGCCAGGACCCCAGAGGAGCAAUGGCCUUGCAGGAAGUGAAAAGAAACGCCGGCUCUGCUCUUCUUGUUUCGGGUCAUCCCCACGGCUACCCCUUAGCACUAGCUGUGCUGGUAAAGAGUCCAAGCUUUGGAUCCAAGCCACGUGUGUCAAUUCCAGCUCGGCCACUCGCAGUGUGCGACCCGGGCAAGCUGUGCCCCUGCACUGAGGAUCCUCUGCCGAGUGGCCCUGACACUAUGAAGCAGACCAUGAGGCAGAGAGAAGGCGCUCAGAAAGGGGCGCCACAUCAGUCCCCAGGGCUCCCGCUGGGCCACCAGCAGAGCCGCGCUGCUGAAGGUUGAACUGUCGGCUAAAUGCAUCUGACCGAGGUGACCUGGCCAAGGUGACCUGGCCUCGUGGGCGAGGAGGUGACCUGGCCUGUGACAAGCAGUAACUGAGCAGAUGUUGUCCCCUCUGCCAUGUUGCCCCCCUCGAGAUGCACACCAAACCCUUAGAUGUCACUUCUGGCCGAGGCCUUCUCACGGCAGGCGGUUCUGUGACUGAGGGCGUCCUUGCCUCCCGAGAGAAGGCCACGCCCCAAUGGGGCAGGAAAAUGUUGACGCUAGUCCCCAUUUGUGGCGUCUGGGCCUGAGUGCAAACUCUGACCUUGCCCUGACUAGCUGGGUGACCUGCACGUGUCUCUCAGCCUCUCUCAGCUUUCCUGGCCUCCCUCCCGUCUGGAGGAGACUUGAUACCUGAUCAGCAGGUCUUGGCAGAAAACGCGGACCGCUCAAAGUUGUGGGUGCGGAGAGCGGAACAAAGGUGCCGGCGGGGCGGAGGGAACAAAGGCGGGGAGGGCACUCUGGGACCAGCUGGGGUGUCACCCUUGCCAUGCUCAGGCCUGAAGGGCCCAGGGGGGCACUGCUGCUCUGGGGGCAGGGAUGGCUGUGGCCUGGAAGGGCUGCCUGACUCCAGCUCAAAGAGCACAGCCCCUGCAACACCACAGCCCAGCCAGGAGACGGGGCGGGGAGCACGGCCCAAGCUUCUGUCCUCCCACGCAGACCUCCUGCUGGAGCCACCUGUGGCCAAACCCAGCCAGAGGCUGGAGGGCCAGGGAGCCAGGAUACAUCGGCGUGUUGAGCCUCUCGGGGGCAGAGCAGGCCAGAGAGCAGAUCUGGGGACAAACGGAGACUAACGGGCUGUGGUAUGGCCCCCAGCGAUGCCCACACCCUCAUCUCCAGAUCCUGUGAACAGGUGACCUUCGUGGCAAAUGGGACUUGGCACACGUGAUUAAGUUAAGGAUCUUGAGAUGGGGAGACAAUCCUGGAUCUCCACGUGAGCCCAACAUAUUCACAAUGGUGCUUAGAAAAAGGAGGCCGGAGGGUCACAAACAUGCAGAGGGGAUGUGACGAUGGAACUAGAGGGGCACGCAGAGAGGCUGGAAGACGUCACACUGCUGGCUUUGAAGAUGGAGGAUGGGGCCACAAGCCAAGGGAAGCAAGCGGCCGCUAGAAGCUGGAAAAGGUGAGGAAGCUGAUUCUCGCCUACAGCCUCCAGAAAGAACACAGCCCUGCAGUCCCAUUUCAGGACUUCCGGCCUUCAGAACUGUAACAGGAUAAAUUGGUGCUGUUUUAGCCUAUCCAGGUCGUGGUAACUUGCUACCACAGCAACAGGAAACUAACGCACCUGCAUAAUACCUGUGGGGUCCCUCUGCCCACCCAGCUUCUGCUCCCCUCCGACAUCACUCUCUGGCUCUGGAUCCAUGUCAAGUCCAGCUGGACGGAGGUCAGAAAGGUGGUUCAUACGUGGAAGCGAAUGCCCUGGUAAGCCAGUCGUGAUGCUCAGACAGAGGGAGCAGGCCCGAGGGGGCUGGGAAGCCACAUAAGCCCCUCUCACAUGAACCCCUCUGGCUGCUCCCAAACAUGGGCUACAGACAUGCUCUGGGCUGCUCCCUAACAGAACUUUCAUACUUUCUCCUUUCCUUUCGUUUUAAUACAUCAUACCCACAUACGGACUGUCUGGUGAAGGAUACAGCACCAUGCAGCACAAAAAGCCCCAGCCCCGAAGUCUGGAAACCUGGAUGCGAGUACUGGGUCUACUCCAGCUUUGAAGUGGGGUCUAGAAAGUCACUGCCCUUCUCUGAGCUUCAGUUUCCCCAUCUGUACAAGGGGACAGGACUGAAGUCCUAGUCUACUGGUAUUCCGAUUCCACAAUUCUCAACACCUCCUUCCCUGUCGCCAGCCAGCCGGAGCCUGUAGGAGCAGGGUGGUCAGGGCUCCUGGAGCACCGCCACAUCCGGAACACAGAGCUUUCUCUGGGAGGUCCAGCCAAACCCCCCUCCUGGACCACAAUCUGCUUGUUCUCUGCUGCCCCCUGCUGGCCAAUCAAAAACAAAGGCUUCCAGCAGGAUCCCUUGGAAAUGGUUGAAAGGGACCAGCAGAAGAUGCCCCCUGCAAACUCCUGCAUUCCCCUGCCCAGACCUGGCCAACCGGGACCUCCCUGGAGCUGCUGUCAGGGCUCAGAGGAAGCCAGCGCAGAGACCAGAGGCCUGGAAGGGGAGGCUGCCUGCUGUGGGCCCUGGGGCAGCUCUCCCCAUCCCUGCAUCCCACCUCUUCCGAACUGGUGAGAUGGGGUAUGAGAUGCUGUGGUUUCUGAAAAGUGGUCUGUUGUCCCAUUCUCUGCCUUUGGGUGAUAGUAACAACAGGAUGAGGUGUCCCUGCUCUCUCUCUCUCAAAUUCACACAAGAGAAGCACACACAUAAGAAGCAUGCUGACAAGGCAAAAAUUAACAGGGAGAAGUCCACCGAGACAGCCCCAGGAGGGCUGCCUCCAGAAAGAGAAGAGAGACUGCAGCACUGUGAUGCUGAGGCUGCUUAAACCUGAGGGUAUGUCAAAGGCACAUUAUUCCUUGCGUCCCCAAUAAAGAAGGCAGGCAGUUAGAAACGCUGGGCCAGGUGAGACUGGGGGAAAGCUGACCAAGAAAGCCAGGAACUGAAUGUGGCUUGACUUUAAUCCAUUGGGUGGCAGGGUCAACCUACAGACAAAGCACCGAAGACUUAAUUUUGGCUACAAGCAGAACAAGGUGGGGUGAUGGAAAAGCAAAGAUACAUCAGACCGCGAGGUGGGAGGAAGUGGGAGGUGGAGGGAGGGGUCCCAGCGCUGUCACCAUCGUCCUCCGCGGAGGAGUCGCUGAACCGACGAACGUCAAUGGAAUAGAGACUUCUAGACAAAGUGUGCAAAGUUACAAAAAUAACCAAGCCAAGAACCAAAAAUAUAAGUAGCCAAAAUUGGGAGCAGGAGACGGAAGGGAAGAGGAAGCAUCAAAGCGUUAAAUAAACCUCCGUUUCCCUUGACACGGGGCAAAAACGACGC